rnacentral:rRNA from 1 species
GAUGAACGCUGGCGGCGUGCCUAAUACAUGCAAGUCGAGCGAACAGACGAGGAGCUUGCUCCUCUGACGUUAGCGGCGGACGGGUGAGUAACACGUGGAUAACCUACUUAUAUGACUGGGAUAACUUCGGGAAACCGGAGCUAAUACCAGAUAAUAUAUUGAACCGCAUGGUUCAAUAGUGAAUGACGGUUUUGCUGUCACUUAUAGAUGGAUCCGCGCCGCAUUAGCUAGUUGGUAAGGUAACGGCUUACCAAGGCGACGAUGCGUAGCCGACCUGAGAGGGUGAUCGGCCACACUGGAACUGAGACACGGUCCAGACUCCUACGGGAGGCAGCAGUAGGGAAUCUUCCGCAAUGGGCGAAAGCCUGACGGAGCAACGCCGCGUGAGUGAUGAAGGUCUUCGGAUCGUAAAACUCUGUUAUUAGGGAAGAACAAAUGUGUAAGUAACUAUGCACGUCUUGACGGUACCUAAUCAGAAAGCCACGGCUAACUACGUG